AGCAGCAUCCCCUUCUUGUGGCCCCAGGAGACAGAGCGCCUCCCCCUCGGCAGCUGCUCCCACCCCUUGUCCUGCUCCAGGCCAGGCCGAGGGGAGGCGGUCCCCUUGGGGGACCCGGAAGCCCCUGCUCUGGCCCCUCCCGGAGACCGGUGGCAGCAGCGACAGCCCAUGACGGCAUCCGCGAGGACCCCCGCCACCCGCCCUCUGCCCACCCUCCGCUCACGCCACCCUCAGCGGAGGCCUCAUAGGCCGUCCUCCCGUUCCUCCCGCCAGCCCCGCACCCCGGGGCUGCCCAGCAGCUGGCCCCUUGCCGGCCUGCCGUGGCCAUCGGCCAGGCGACAUUCCAGCUGGUAGCCCCGAGGCUGGAGCGGAGGCAGGAGGAGGACGGAGACCGUGCCGGGAGGAGGGAGGCAGGACGCUCUCCUUCAGGGUCUUUCCUCUUAGUUCUGGUAUCUUCUUCCUCUCUGUCUUCCUCCCUUUGUCCCGGGCCUGUAUUGUUGGCAAUGUGGUGGGCUUCCCACCCCAGGUGAUGAGAACUCGAAAGUCAGCCGUGCCCGCCCAUCCGAGUAGCCCUGGCGGCUGCCUGCCCAGCAGUGUGGAAGCAGAGUCCUGCGUCUCUAGGAGUUGUCACUGGAGUCACAGCACAGGGGUUGUGUGUGAGUAAUGUGAGACACGUGUUCAGUGAGGUGACCUGUGUGACGGAGACAUGCGUGUGAAGUAAAGCCCUCGGGACAGCAGGCCGUCAUCUUCGGCUCCUCCGGACCUCACCUGCUCCCUGCACCAUAGCUCCCCACUCACCCCAGGCACCAGCCUUUGGCUCAGAGGGAAAGACAGCAAAAGACAGCUGGCAGUGCUCUUGUCCUGUUUCCAGAGAGACCAGGCAGGGGGCGGGGGACUCCCCAAACCACCAGGAUGUUUGCUGAUCUGGUAUGAGGGGUUGUGGCUGAGCAAACCAGACGGGAGAGGGACUGAGUGAAGUCCAGGGCCCAGGCAGUUGCGUUGCACUGCCCCGAUCUGACCUGGGAGCUUCCACAGCCCUCAGCCAAGCCAGCUCCUUCCUCUGUUUUGCCUGUGGUAGGAACGGGAGCAGAAGGUGGAGCUGCUGACAAACCCAGGCAAGUGCUGUCUCGGUUGCCUCCCAUGCCCUUCAGGCUGAAGCCAGGCCCCAGGGGAGGAGAGGGCAGGUUAGAAAAUUCUAAAUUCAGCUCCAAGGGGCUGGAAAGGAUGGGCCCGCCCACUGCCGCCACUUUGAGCCCUAGAGCCCUUGCUAGUUAGCGAACUGCACGUGACGCUGCCCAUGACACCUGACCACGCAUGCGUCCCACCCCGGGGUCAGAAAUGGUGGUUAAGACUGUCCUUGGAGUCCUCACUUUCAGUUGGGCCCCCCCCCCACUCCAAUAAAGCAAAGUAUUCAACUGCCC
rnacentral:lncRNA from 1 species